GGAUAGAUGACAGAGUCUGGUUUAAUGUGAUGCAUUUGAAAUGCAUAGAAAGAAAUUUCCUAGGGUUCGAAUCCCUAUCUAUCCU
rnacentral:tRNA from 1 species